rnacentral:rRNA from 1 species
AACGACCGCUGGCGGCAGGCCUAACACAUGCAAGUCGAACGGAUCCUUCGGGAUUAGUGGCAGACGGGUGAGUAACGCGUGGGAAGCUACCUUGUGGUAGGGAACAACAGUUGGAAACGACUGCUAAUACCCUAUGAGCCCUAUGGGGGAAAGAUUUAUCGCCAUGAGAUGUGCCCGCGUUAGAUUAGCUAGUUGGUAAGGUAAUGGCUUACCAAGGCGACGAUCUAUAGCUGGUCUGAGAGGAUGAUCAGCCACACUGGGACUGAGACACGGCCCAGACUCCUACGGGAGGCAGCAGUGGGGAAUAUUGGACAAUGGGGGCAACCCUGAUCCASCCAUGCCGCGUGAGUGAUGACGGCCUUAGGGUUGUAAAGCUCUUUCAGCAGUGAAGAUAAUGACAUUAACUGCAGAAGAAGCCCCGGCUAACUUCGUGCCAGCAGCCGCGGUAAUACGAAGGGGGCUAGCGUUGUUCGGAAUCACUGGGCGUAAAGCGUACGUAGGCGGACUGAUCAGUCAGGGGUGAAAUCCCGGGGCUCAACCCCGGAACUGCCUUUGAUACUGUCAGUCUUGAGAUCGAGAGAGGUGAGUGGAACUCCGAGUGUAGAGGUGAAAUUCGUAGAUAUUCGGAAGAACACCAGUGGCGAAGGCGGCUCCACUGGCUCGAWAACUGAC